CCCUUCAUAUUCGUGGUAAUUUUGGAGUUCCAGAGAAUAACACCUUAAAAAGAAAGAACUGUGGCUGUGCUAAUGUAGCAGUAUUGCGUGAAUCUGUUGCCGCCAUUCCAUAGACUGACCCAUUGGAAUGGUGAAACUGGCGAGUAAACGCUGAAAUUCAAGAAAAUUAUGUUGA